GCCCGGCCAGUAUGGCGGAUAUGACUCUCGGUUUGUAACCGAGUGGAUUCGGGUUCGAAUAUCGAGUAAGGCA